AUAAAGACAAUGAUAAGAGCAAGUAGAAGUAUCUAAGCUUAACAGAAAGUUGCCGGUUGAUGAGAGGCGCAAGGACAUUUACUUUGAAUACGUCUUGGAGUCAUGCAUUGAACGUUAAUUUUUAAUUAGUAGGUGUUAUCGGAUAAGCUUCGUUAAAGCUAUUAAGGUUACAUAUAAAUUUUAUGUAAUAAAUUAAGGUGGUACCGCGUGAUAUAAUCUCGUCCUUUGU
rnacentral:ncRNA from 1 species